rnacentral:tRNA from 1 species
GGGUGCGUAGCUCAGUUGGUAGAGCAACUGACUCUUAAUCAGUGGGUCCGGGGUUCGAAUCCCCGCGCGCCCACCA